AGUGAACGCUGGCGGUAGGCCUAACGCAUGCAAGUCGAACGGCAGCACAGUAAGAGCCUGCUCUUACGGGUGGCGAGUGGCGGACGGGUGAGGAAUACAUCGGAAUCUACUUUUUCGUGGGGGAUAACGUAGGGAAACUUACGCUAAUACCGCAUACGACCUACGGGUGAAAGCAGGGGAUCUUCGGACCUUGCGCGAUUGAAUGAGCCGAUGUCGGAUUAGCUAGUUGGCGGGGUAAAGGCCCACCAAGGCGACGAUCCGUAGCUGGUCUGAGAGGAUGAUCAGCCACACUGGAACUGAGACACGGUCCAGACUCCUACGGGAGGCAGCAGUGGGGAAUAUUGGACAAUGGGCGCAAGCCUGAUCCAGCCAUACCGCGUGGGUGAAGAAGGCCUUCGGGUUGUAAAGCCCUUUUGUUGGGAAAGAAAAGCAGCAGGUUAAUACCCCGCUGUUCUGACGGUACCCAAAGAAUAAGCACCGGCUAACUUCGUG
rnacentral:rRNA from 1 species